rnacentral:rRNA from 1 species
CCUACGGGUGGCAGCAGUGGGGAAUAUUGCGCAAUGGGCGAAAGCCUGACGCAGCGACGCCGCGUGAGGGAUGAAGGUCUUCGGAUCGUAAACCUCUGUCAGCAGGGAAGAACGGUCACUGUGCUAAUCAGCAGUGAAUUGACGGUACCUGCAAAGGAAGCACCGGAUAACUCCGUGCCAGCAGCCGCGGUAAUACGAAGGAUGCGAGCGUUAAUCGGAAUUACUGGGCGUAAAGCGCUCGUAGGCGGUAUGUCAAGGCAAGGGGGAAAUCCCCGCGCUCAACGUGGGAACUGCCUUUGAAACUGGCAAACUGGAGUGUGUGAGAGGAUAGUGGAAUUCCAGGUGUAGGAGUGAAAUCCGUAGAUAUCUGGAGGAACAUCAGUGGCGAAGGCGACUAUCUGGCACAUAACUGACGCUGAGGAGCGAAAGCGUGGGUAGCAAACAGGAUUAGAUACCCGGGUAGUC